rnacentral:lncRNA from 1 species
AUUAUUUUAUCUCUUGUAUUGAUAGUGUGCCCCUCACUUUAUUAUUAUUUUUUAUUAUUUCUUAUUAUUGCUUUAUUUUUUAGUUUAUUUUAUUGUAUUUUUAGUUGAUGCAUAAUUGUUAAUUCAAAAAGACAAAAUGACUCUUAAAAUUAACCUUUCAAAAAAUACUAAAAAUCAAAGGUGCUUCAUCAACAUCAUG